rnacentral:rRNA from 1 species
GACGAACGCUGGCGGCGUGCUUAACACAUGCAAGUCGAACGGGAAGGCCUCUUUCGGGGGGUACUCGAGUGGCGAACGGGUGAGUAACACGUGAGUAACCUGCCCUUGACUUUGGGAUAACUUCAGGAAACUGGGGCUAAUACCGGAUAGGAGCUCCUGCUGCAUGGUGGGGGUUGGAAAGUUUCGGCGGUUGGGGAUGGACUCGCGGCUUAUCAGCUUGUUGGUGGGGUAGUGGAUUACCAAGGCUUUGACGGGUAGCCGGCCUGAGAGGGUGACCGGCGACAUUGGGACUGAGGUACGGCCCAGAUUCCUACGGGAGGCAGCAGUGGGGAAUAUUGCACAAUGGGUGGAAGCCUGAUGCAGCAACGCCGUGUGCGGGAUGACUGCCUUCGGGUUGUAAACCGCUUUCGCUCAUGACGAAGCGUUGUGUGACGGUAGUGGGUAAAGAAGCACCGGCUAACUACGUG